rnacentral:tRNA from 1 species
GCGGGUGUGGCGGAAUUGGUAGACGCGCUGGUUUUAGGUACCAGUGACCUCGGUCAUAGGGGUUCGAGUCCCUUCACCCGCACCA